GCACAAUAGCUCAGUCAGUAGAGAAUGAGACUCUUAAUCUUGGGGUCGUGGGUUCAAGUCCCAUGGUGGGCA